rnacentral:rRNA from 1 species
UACGUAGGGGGCAAGCGUUGUCCGGAUUAUUGGGCGUAAAGAGCGUGUAGGCGGCCAGGUAGGUCCGUUGUGAAAACUCGAGGCUCAACCUCGAGACGUCGGCCGGAAACCCUCUGGCUAGAGUCCGGAAGAGGAGAGUGGAAUUCCGUGGUGUAGCGGUGAAAUGCGCAGAGUAUCAGGAAGAACACCCGUGGCGAAGGCGGCUCUCUGGGACG